rnacentral:misc_RNA from 1 species
GAUUGAAUUAGUGACCUUCAACUUGAUUUCGAGCCGAUUUUAAUAAAUAUUUAUGAUUUGAGUUCUGUGAUGUAGCUGCAAUAUCUGAAGGAAAUGGUUUUGAAUCAUUCAUAAUGAAUUAGCUCUGAUUUUAUUUGCAUAAAUGUCAAAAACAAUCUAAGCCUUUGUAUCCAUUUGCUAUUAGACUUAAACUUUUUUUAAAUAAUUAUAUCUAAUUUUAAAAUUUUGUUAUAUU